rnacentral:rRNA from 1 species
GAUGAACGCUAGCGGCAGGCCUAAUACAUGCAAGUCGAGGGGUAGAAGAGGCUUGCUUCUUUGAGACCGGCGCACGGGUGCGUAACGCGUAUGCAACCUACCUUCAUCUGGGGGAUAGCCCGGAGAAAUCCGGAUUAAUACCGCAUAAAAUCACAGGAUGGCAUUAUCCAAUGAUCAAACAUUUAUGGGAUGGAGAUGGGCAUGCGUGUCAUUAGCUAGUUGGCGGGGUAACGGCCCACCAAGGCGACGAUGACUAGGGGAUCUGAGAGGAUGGCCCCCCACACUGGUACUGAGACCCGGACCAGACUCCUACGGGAGGCAGCAGUAAGGAAUAUUGGUCAAUGGAGGCAACUCUGAACCAGCCAUGCCGCGUUCAGGAAGACUGCCCUAUGGGUUGUAAACUGCUUUUACUCGGGAAUAAACCUUAUUACGUGUAAUAAGCUGAAUGUACCGAAGGAAUAAGGAUCGGCUAACUCCGUGCCAGCAGCCGCGGUAA